UGGGCUUGACAUCUGCGAAUUUCUAUGAAAGUAGGAAGUGCCCUUCGGGGAGCCGCAAGACAGGUGCUGCAUGGCUGUCGUCAGCUCGUGUCGUGAGAUGUUGGGUUAAGUCCCGCAACGAGCGCAACCCUUGUCUUUAAUUGCCAUCAUUGAGUUGGGCACUUUAAAGAGACUGCCGGUGUUAAACCGGAGGAAGGUGGGGAUGACGUCAAGUCCUCAUGGCCUUUAUGCCCAGGGCUACACACGUGCUACAAUGGGCGGUACAAAGGGUAGCGAUGCCGCGAGGUGAAGCCAAUCCCAAAAAGCCGUCCACAGUUCGGAUUGGAGUCUGCAACUCGACUCCAUGAAGCCGGAAUCGCUAGUAAUCGUGGAUCAGCAUGCCACGGUGAAUACGUUCCCGGGCCUU
rnacentral:rRNA from 1 species